AGCGAACGCUGGCGGCAGGCCUAACACAUGCACGUCGAACGAACCCUUCGGGGUUAGUGGCGGACGGGUGAGUAACACGUGGGAACGUGCCUUUAGGUUCGGAAUAACUCAGGGAAACUUGUGCUAAUACCGAAUGUGCCCUUCGGGGGAAAGAUUUAUCGCCUUUAGAGCGGCCCGCGUCUGAUUAGCUAGUUGGUGAGGUAAUGGCUCACCAAGGCUACGAUCAGUAGCUGGUCUGAGAGGAUGACCAGCCACAUUGGGACUGAGACACGGCCCAAACUCCUACGGGAGGCAGCAGUGGGGAAUCUUGCGCAAUGGGUGAAAGCCUGACGCAGCCAUGCCGCGUGGAUGAUGAAGGUCUUAGGAUUGUAAAAUCCUUUCACCGGUGAAGAUAAUGACUGUAGCCGGAGAAGAAGCCCCGGCUAACUUCGUGCCAGCAGCCGCCGUAACAC
rnacentral:rRNA from 1 species